AAUACCUACUGGUCUGCAGGACGAAAUGUGCAGAGCUCACAUCUGUACAUGUUAUCUGCUAAAUGUGGAUGCUCACUUUACUAAACAUCAAACUCUCACAUGGAGGAGAGUUGGCAUCAUUUAAGUUUAAGUAAACUUAGUUGCCUCUGUUUGUUGUUAUGCUAGUAAUGUUAUUGAGACAAUGGAGAAGCACUUGCUGCUAGUAAUGUUAUCGAGACAAGCAUUAACUUUGUAUUGUGUCUAUUGUGGAUUUUCAUGCUCUGCACCAUGGCCAUAAAUUAUGUUCUUAUUGUGGAUGUCAGCUUAAGAUUUUUAGUUCAAUUGUGUUUUGUCCUGUGGGCAAUUGUUUGUGCCAAUCACCCCCAGGAAGUUCACUAGGAGCUAGUUUGUGUUUCUUCCUUCUACUCCCUCCGUUCCAAAUUACUCGUCGCAGAAAUGGAUGUAUCUGGAACUAAUAUACAUCUAGAUACAUCCAUACCUGCGACAAGUAAUUCGGAACCAAGGGAGUAUGUCUGAGCUAGCUCUUCUUUAGUUUGGCUAAAAUUGAGUGCUUAAUUUGUUGCUUUGGUUGGUGUGAUCGUGAAUGUAGGCACCAAACAGUUAGUACUAUCAUGUACAUCCAUACUCUGAAUAUAUGGUCUGAAUUUCUACAGACUGCAGGUUCUUAAUUACUUGCCCCUAGUAUUCUUGUUUGUUCGAAAUGCUGCACAUAUAUAAUCUGCUAGCCUUUUGGGGCAAAUUACUUCCAACUGGCCACAUAAUCUGUACUUUAAUUAGUUUCUGCCAUCUUGGGUGUUCAUCUGGAUAAAGAUAUCAUUGAAGUUCAGUGGCGGAUAGUAAAAUUUGAUACCUGUGUCUAUGAUUUUCGCAAGGGAAAAUUAAGGAUUUGAACCAUGUUUGAUCUGAAAAGACAAAGAACUCCAGUACUUUCUUUAACAUCCGAAGUUAAUACUAAUAGUAUUAGUUAUUAACAUGUUUCUUUCAUGAACUGCUAAUUAUUAACACAUUUAUUUCAUGAGCUGCAAACGGGAAGGAGUUUCACAAGUUACUGGACCGUUUUCCUUGUAGGUGCCUGAACUCACUGGAUUCUGUGAGGAAUGAUUUCUAUGAUCUGUGCAGCAUGUCCAAACCGCAUGCUUCAGUGCAGCUGGACCAGCAGGUGUUCUCUGCUCCAUGUAGGAGGUGGUAGGAGAGGCGAAGAAGAUAAUCUAUUGCUGUUUCUGGGCGAGGAAGGGAGCUCUUGCUUGAUUUUCUCAGGAAUCUCGCCUGGAAACCAUAUGGCUAGUUGUACUGCUCUGAAUGCUACUAAUAGCCGUGUGAGAUUUUUAGUACUGAAGCCAUGAGAAAAACAGGAAAAAGGAUGGUGGUCCGUUGCUUAAAGGCUUGUCGCCUUAUGUAAACCGGAGGAACAUGUGCAAAUAGGUAGCUAAAAUUUCCUCUUAUUUGGAGGAAAGCUAUACUUUUUGAAGGUGGACAGUGCAUAGGAGCAGCUAUACCGACUUAAGGGGUGUUCGGAAUCUCUCCCAUCAGCUAACUCCGUUAGCUCCGCGCGAGGAGCGCGGUCUGAGCCGCUCCCAGCAAUUGUGCUGGCGCUCCGUCCGCUCCCGGAGCUGCUGUGGCGGAGCGGAGAGUAUCCGAACAGGGCUUUAGUUCGAAGACGUGCAAAUGGAUGCAAUCAGCUAAUUUGAAAUUUCUGCAAGUAGAAACUGGAUGUGUACUGCAAAUGAUAAAAUUAUCAGUCAGCUUUUAAGAGAAGGAUACCUACAAGAAUACGCGGAUUGCUGGGUAAGUAUGGAGCUCCUCCAGUUUCCCGGGCGAUCUUGCCACAAGGUGAAAUUCUACUAUAAAGUUGUUCUGCCAGGCUCUGACCUCGACCGGAUUGUUCAUCACCUCCCACGUUGUACAUGGAAGGUAUUCAGUAGCCUCUAAAGAAGGUACUCCCAGUUUGAAGUGCAGUGUGCGGGCUGUCAUAGGAUAGGAACUAUUGUCAGUACCGUCUCACCGACCACGAUGUCUAGUGUUCUGAAUGUCUUGCUGGAAGUUUUGCUAAAUAAAUGGAGGCAAGGAUGGAUCAAGAUGAUCAUACUAUCUUUUUAACUGGUAGCUCGUUUUACUACUAUGAAGUUCUUCAGAGUUGCACCUGGCUCGUUUUACUACUAUGAAGUUCAGAGUCAGAUGACCAGAAACAGAACUGUUCUGUUUGUACAUCAUCAGCUCUUAAACACAAGCCCCUUUAUUAGCACACAAGAUUCAAACAAACUGGUGGCCUUUAGAUAGGAAAAAGAAUCGGUCACCUCGGGAUCUAGAAAACAUGUACAGAGCAAGGCAAAUCUCUCUGUUUCCCGGCCAGUCAAAAUGUGCGCUCCUGAUUUCUCUUCAGGAGGAAGGUGGGAAGCUGCGCAUGACGCUGAAGGUACAGAGGAGAAGAGGGAGGGGAAGAACUGCAACACCUGUGAAAGUUGCCAACAUUUCCCAUUGUAGUUGAUUGAAGUUGUCACUAUGAAUUUUCAGAUUAUGUAUCAGGCAUUGUAGUUCCCUUGUAAUCCAGUGGAUUUAUGUGAAUGAAUAUGUAUCCAGUGAAGUAAACACCAUUGUCGUCAAGUA